UUUCAUUAUCCUCUCAAUAAUGUCAGCAAGUCCACUCCGUUAUAAAGCCGUUACAAAGACCGUGUGUAUUGGAACAACCAUUUGGCCGUUCCAAAAAAGCCGUUACAAAUCCCCCCAUUUUUUGUAGUGUUUGUUUCCUCUAAGGAUCCUUGGAAGGAAAGAUUUUUUUAUGUUAGAGACGAUGGUCGGGGGUUGGUCUCGAAAUGGAGCAGUUCGCCCAUCAAGACACGCAUCAUAAAGAGUUGGGAAAACUUCGCCAUAGUUUUAUGGCAAUGGGGCUAUUUAGCCACAUGAUUGACAUUACGCACUAUUUUUCAUCUAGUAUUUACUUGGAAUUGUCAUGCGAUGUUUAAAUUAUUUCAAUAUGCCUUUCAUAUAUUUCGCUUAAAUGUGUUAGGUUUUGCUUGGAUUUUGCCUUUCGCUUUAUUAAUCUAUCCCUUGUUUUCAAGCAAGAAGCUUGAGAUCGACGCCAUGCUUGCGAGGAAGGCGACCAUAAGAGAAUAAUAGAAAGGUGAGCAAGAGUUAGCCCAACUGUAGGUGGGAAGCUCUGUGCCUGCGGCUCCCUAGAGUCUCUACAGGAACGACCACUCUAGCCCUCUCCGCACAACUUAGGUGGUCGGUCCUUCUCCGCCGCAAAAGAGGCCUCGGGGGGGUCCCUUCGGUGCACAGGGUGAUGCAUGUGUUGUUUUUCUACUUGGGAUGACUAUUCCAUCUCGUAUGUCUCGUCUUAAAAAUAUGAAUGUUUUCUAUCUUUUUGACAUCAUGACUUUUCAAUAGUUUCAUUUUGAUAUAUGUCUUAUUAAUUAAAAUUACAUGUAAAUGUAGAAAUCAUAUUUUACAGAAUAAAUCUGCUUGUGUGGUAGACACUGUGCUCUUGAUUUGACUAUUGCAUACUAAACUUUAGGUAUGAUGGAUUUGACCGUGUAUACGAUGCUGCAAGAUGCAUAAUCAUGAUAAUGACUUGUUUGAUUAUACAUAAUAUCAUUUGGGUCAGCUCAAGGUUAAGAUAGCAAAACUGAGGACGCAAUUGUUGGAGCCCCCAAAAAAGCCCCAUCAUAUGAGUUCACCACGCUAACUUGCAUUCUGGGCAUUCUUCACUACAAUGAUGCUAAAAUACAGCUCCUUGAUCUUCCUGGAGUUAUAAAAGGUGCAUCUGAAGGAAAGGGGCGUGGUACCAAGUUGUUGUAGGAGGGAACAAAACCUUCCAGUGAAAACAGUUGCUGAUAAGACUUGGCAGGGAAUGAAAUAGUUGCUCAAUGAAGGGGGAAGCAAACCUUGGGGCUCCAGUCCACAAGGAUUCACUUUACACAUUGAGAACAUCAUAGCUUGCCAGGGAAUGAAAACUGUUGCUGAAUGAAGGAGGGAACACAACCUUCCAGUGCCAGUCAACAAGGAUUCACUUUACACGGUGAGAAUGUUCUGUUAUCUCUCUUUCUCAUCUGAAUUGGAUUAAUCAACAAAUUGAAAAUUUAAUUUAAUGUAUUAUUUUCUUACCAUUCAUUUUGGUUUUGCUUAAAGCCUAUUGAGCAGAGGAAGUUCAACCCAUUGUUACAUUAUUGUAUUUACUUGUUUUAAAUUUUAUUUGUAUUUCGAAGAGGCACUUCUAAUAAAAAAAGAUUGAUAAUGUUUUAUUGGUGA